GAUGAACGCUGGCGGCGUGCCUAAUACAUGCAAGUCGAGCGAACAGACGAGGAGCUUGCUCCUCUGACGUUAGCGGCGGACGGGAGAGUAACACGUGGAUAACCUACCUAUAAGACUGGGAUCACUUCGGGACACCGGAGAUAAUACCGGAUAAUCUCUUGAACCGCAUGGUUCAAUAGUGAAAGACGGUUUUGCUGUCACUUAUCGAUGGAUCCGCGCCGCAUUAGCUAGUUGGUAAGGUAAAGGCUUACCAAGGCUACGAUGCGUAGCCGACCUGAGAGGGUGAUCGGCCACACUGGAACUGAGACACGGUCCAGACGCCUACGGGAGGCAGCAGUAGGGAAUCUUCCGCAAUGGUCGAAAGCCUGACGGAGCAACGCCGCGUGAGUGAUGAAGGUCUUCGGAUCGUAAAACUCUGUUAUUAGGGAAGAACAAAUGUGUAAGUAGCUAUGCACGGCUUGACGGUACCUAAUCAGAAAGCCACGGCUAACUACGUG
rnacentral:rRNA from 1 species